rnacentral:rRNA from 1 species
CUCUGUGACUCCUACGGGAGGCAGCAGUGGGGAAUAUUGCACAAUGGGGGAAACCCUGAUGCAGCCAUGCCGCGUGUGUGAAGAAGGCCUUCGGGUUGUAAAGCACUUUCAGUAGGGAGGAAGGUAGUGUAGUUAACACCUGCAUUAUUUGACGUUACCUACAGAAGAAGCACCGGCUAACUCCGUGCCAGCAGCCGCGGUAAUACGGAGGGUGCGAGCGUUAAUCGGAAUUACUGGGCGUAAAGCGCAUGCAGGCGGCCUGUUAAGUCAGAUGUGAAAGCCCGGGGCUUAACCUCGGAAUUGCAUUUGAAACUGGCAGGCUAGAGUCUUGUAGAGGGGGUAGAAUUUCAGGUGUAGCGGUGAAAAUGCGUAGAGAUCUGAAGGAAUACCAGUGGCGAAGGCGGCCCCCUGGACAAAGACUGACGCUCAGAUGCGAAAGCGUGGGGAGCAAACAGGAUUAGAUACCCUGGUAG